rnacentral:rRNA from 1 species
CAGUAAGAGUUUGAUCCUGGCUCAGGAUGAACGCUGGCGGCGUGCCUAACACAUGACAAGUCGAACGUGAGGUUAUGUCUAGCAAUAGAGAUGACUGAAAGUGGCGAACGGGUGAAGUAACACGUAGAUAACCUACCCUGAAGGUGGGGGAAUAACCGAACGGGAAACUGUGGCUAAUACCGCAUACGCUUGACCGUCGUGGGAAUAUGGUCGAAAGGGAAAGUACUUUAAUUGGUGUCGUUUGGGGAGGGGUCUGCGGUCGAUUUAGUUAGAGUGGGUGGGGGUAACCGGCCCUAACCAUGGCGAUGAUCGAUAGCGUGGUCUGAGGAGGAUGAUCAGCCACGAACGGGAACUGAGAGUACCGGUCCCGACUCCGUACGGGGGGCAGCAGUGAGGAAUAUUGCACAAUGGGGGCAACCCUGAUGCAGCAACGCCGCGUGGAGGAAGAAGGCCCUUGGGUCGUAAACUCCUUUUCUAUGGGACGAGAGAGGACGGUACCAUAGGAAUAAGUCACGGCUAACUACGUGCCAGCAGCCGCGGUAAUAC